GACAGAGGGUGCAAACGUUGCUCGGAAUUACUGGGCGUAAAGCGCACGUAGGCGGAUUGUUAAGUCGGGGGUGAAAUCCUGGAGCUCAACUCCAGAACUGCCUUCGAUACUGGCGAUCUCGAGUUCGGGAGAGGUGAGUGGAACUGCGAGUGUAGAGGUGAAAUUCGUAGAUAUUCGCAAGAACACCAGUGGCGAAGGCGGCUCACUGGCCCGAUACUGACGCUGAGGUGCGAAAGCGUGGGGAGCAAACAGG
rnacentral:rRNA from 1 species